CCGGGACCAUCCGGUAAGGCUAAAUACUCCCGAGAGACCGAUAGUGAACCAGUACCGUGAGGGAAAGGUGAAAAGUACCCCGAGCAGGGGGGUGAAAUAGACCCUGAACCCGCGCGCCUACAAGCGGUCGGAGCCAUGAAAUAUGGUGACGGCGUGCCUUUUGCAUAAUGAGCCUACGAGUUAGUCGUCACCAGCGAGGUUAAGGGCUUCAGGCCCGUUAGCCGAAGUGAAAGCGAGCCUUAACAGGGCGUUCAGUUGGUGGCGCUAGACGCGAAACCUUGUGAUCUACCCACGAGCAGGUUGAAGUCGCGGUAACACGUGAUGGAGGACCGAACCGGUAAACGUUGAAAAGUUUUCGGAUGACUCGCGGGUAGGGGUGAAAGGCCAAUCAAACUGGGAAAUAGCUCGUACUCUCCGAAAUGCAUUUCGGUGCAGCCUGUGAUGUUCUGUUCCAGAGGUAGAGCUACUGGUUGGACGCGAGGGCUUCACCGCCUAUCAAAUCCGGAUAAACUCCGAAUGCUGGAACACGAAAUCAUGGAGUGAGCCCGCGGGUGCUAAGGUCCGCGGACGAGAGGGAAAGAACCCGGACCACCGGCUAAGGUCCCGGAUGGACAGUUAAGUUGAUCAAACGAGGUGGGAUCGCGGAGACAGCUAGGAUGUUGGCUUGGAAGCAGCCAUUCAUUUAAAGAGUGCGUAACAGCUCACUAGUCGAGCGAUCCCGCGUGGAUAAUACACGGGCAUCAAACUGUCAACCGAAGCCGUGGGGUUAGUUAAUGACUAACCGGUAGGAGAGCAUUCCUGCCAGCUUAGAAGGUCACCCGCGAGAGUGACUGGAGCGGCAUGAAAAGCAAAUGUAGGCAUAAGUAACGAUAAUGGGGGCGAGAACCCCCCACGCCGCAAGACCAAGGAUUCCCCGGCAAUGUCAAUCAGCCGGGGGUCAGCCGGCCUCUAAGGCUCACCCGAAGGGGGAUGCCGACGAGAAACGGGUUAACAUUCCCGUGCUUCUCGUCACCGUGACGCGGUGACGGGGUGAUGAAUGGACCGCGCGCUGACGGAAUAGCGCGUUGAAGGCCGUACCCUGUGACGGUGGUAGUCAAGCACGCCACCGGAGGCGAAAGUCGAUAGUACCUCGAGGCCUCGGCCGAGGGGAUAGCGUCCAGGCAAUUUACCCCCUAGAAAACCCGCUAAACUUCAAGUGACGAGGAACCGUACUGUAAACGGACACACGUGGUCGGGUAGAACAUACCAAGGCGCUCGAGUGAUUCAUGGUCAAGGAACUAGGCAAAAUAGUCCUGUAACUUCGGGAAAAAGGACGCUCUAGUGAUAGAGCCGCAGAGUAAUGGCCCAGGCGACUGUUUACCAAAAACACAUGGCUAUGCCAAAUCGAAAGAUGACGUAUAUGGCCUGACACCUGCCCGGUGCCGGAAGGUUAAGAGGAGAGCUCAUCCGAAAGGAGAAGGUUUGAAUUGAAGCCCCGGUAAACGGCGGCCGUAACUAUAACGGUCCUAAGGUAGCGAAAUUCCUUGUCGGGUAAGUUCCGACCUGCACGAAUGGUGUAACGAUCUGGGCACUGUCUCGACCAUGAGCUCGGUGAAAUUGUAGUUCCGGUGAAGAUGCCGGGUACCCGCGACGGGACGGAAAGACCCCGUGAACCUUUACUGCAGCUUCGCGUUGUUCCCGGGCACGGGACGUGUAGGAUAGGUCGGAGGCUACGAGUCGGUUUCGCCAGGAAUCGAGGAGCCAUCGUUGAAAUACGACCCUUCUCUUGUCUGGGAUCUAACCCUUUGUAUAGGGGACACCGCGUGGUGGGUAGUUUGACUGGGGUGGUCGCCUCCAAAAGCGUAACGGAGGCUUCCAAAGGUACCCUCGGGUUGGUUGGUAAUCAACCGUAGAGUGCAAUGGCACAAGGGUGCUUGACCGGGAGACCAACGAGUCGAUCGGGUGCGAAAGCAGGGCAUAGUGAUCCGGUGAUCCCGCGUGGAAGGGUCAUCGCUCAAAGGAUAAAAGGUACUCCGGGGAUAACAGGCUGAUCGCCCCCAAGAGCUCAUAUCGACGGGGCGGUUUGGCACCUCGAUGUCGGCUCGUCACAUCCUGGGGC
rnacentral:rRNA from 1 species